UGAGUGGGUUUGUCUCUUUGUGGGAGCUCCCAUUCUCAAGGUGCCUUAAGUGAAGUGAAAACAACCCUCAGCGUCAGCUCUUCUUCCUGCUUGAUUUUGUAUUGUGGUCACAGCUGCAAAGAGUUCGUGUGAAUGAGCAAAAAGAAACCAACUAGGCUGGAAAGCAGGAGCAACUAGCCUCGCCGAUAAGAAGGUGUUUGAACAUUAAACCUGUUCAAGACUACCUGGUUGCUUCACCAGCUGUAUCCGAAUAAAAAAGGAAAUCUGGCUGUAGAUUCCUUACUAUGCAAAUUAGUUACUGCAACCAACUUGCUUUAUGUU